UACGGAGGGUGCAAGCGUUAUCCGGAUUUACUGGGUUUAAAGGGUGUGUAGGCGGACUUUUAAGUCCGUGGUGAAAUCUCCGGGCUCAACCCGGAAACUGCCAUGGAUACUAUAGGUCUUGAAUGUUGUUGAGGUGGGCGGAACGGGUCAUGUAGCGGUGAAAUGCAUAGAUAUGACCCGGAACACCGAUUGCGAAGGCAGCCCACUAAGCAACGAUUGACGCUGAGGCACGAAAGCGUGGGGAGCAAACAGGAUUAGAACGUACCCACGUAGUCC
rnacentral:rRNA from 1 species